rnacentral:rRNA from 1 species
CGCGAACGUUAGCGGCGGGCCUAACACAUGCAAGUCGAGCGAGAAAGUGGCUUCGGCCAUCAGUAAAGCGGCGGACGGGUGAGUAACACGUAGGUAAUCUUCCCUUGAGCGGGGACAACGUUUCGAAAGGAACGGCUAAUACCGCAUACGUUCCCAGGAGCUUCGGCCCCUGGGAGGAAAGGCUAGGUCGCAAGAUCCGGCACUCGAGGAGGAGCCUGCGUCGCAUCAGCUAGUUGG